GUGAAAAAUGAAAACAAAGUCAACAAAGACAAAUAGUAUCCCUCCACCACUGAUACAUCAACCAGCACUGGAUCUGCUGAAUCAUGUGCCCAAGUGCUGAGCACUCUCUUGUUCUGGGCCCCAAAACUAACAAUUAACCCCUUUGUUGUGUGUGUGUAUUUGUGUGUGUGUGAGAGAGAGAGAGAGAUACAGAGACACAGAGAGAGAAUCUGUGGUAAGAAAUGCAGGAUGCUUGGGUGGAAUGGAUGGAAUGGAUGGAUGGACAGAUGGAUGACGGAGGGAUGGAUGGGUCGAUUAUUGGUUGGAUGACUUGGUGGAUUUUCUCUCUGAAGCAUCUAUGAUUCCACAGAUAUUUCCCAGCUAUCCUUCUGACACUUUUCCUCCCUCUAAGAAGACCGUCUCAAUAACUCAAGAUCCAAUCAUCCUGAUCUCAUCCAACGUUUGUGAAACUCCUAAGCUCUAUGAUGAGAUGGCUCAAGCUCAGGAAGCCAUGUUGGAAUGUGAGGUGAAAACCAAGCUGAAGAUCAUGCAGCAAGAGAAAGAGUCUGGAUCCUUGACUCCAUGAUGAAGCAUCAGAGCCCAGAGCAGCCUCAAGACUUACGUGAAAGUGAAAUCAACUCCAUUCUUGUCUUCCCCUACUAUUGUCGCCUGUGUUCUUUCACAGGUGCCCAAAUCUAAUCCUAACCAAUACAGCAUUUAAUUCCCCACCCUGCCUUUGGCACACUUGGUUGCUACAUUCUGGCUCAGUUCUGGAGCUGCAAUCCCUGUAGUUCUCCAAAAAGUAGAAGGGAACCUGGCUGAUAAGUCUUACCCUGCAAACACAUUAGAGAUGAUAGUCCUGAACAGGACUAACACUAAUAAAAGUGGGACAAUAAUGGUUA